rnacentral:rRNA from 1 species
GGCAGCAGCCGCGGGAACACCGGCGGCCCGAGUGGUGAUCGUGAUUAUGGGUCUAAAGGGUCCGUAGCCGGUUUGGUCAGUCCUCCGGGAAAUCUGAUAGCUCAACUAUUAGGCUUUCGGGGGAUACUGCCAGACUUGGAACCGGGAGAGGUAAGAGGUACUACAGGGGUAGGAGUGAAAUCUUGUAAUCCCUGUGGGACCACCUGUGGCGAAGGCGUCUUACCAGAACGGGUUCGACGGUGAGGGACGAAAGCUGGGGGCACGAACCGGAUUAGAUACCCGGGUAGUCCCAGCCGUAAACGAUGCUCGCUAGGUGUCAGGCAUGGCGCGACCGUGUCUGGUGCCGCAGGGAAGCCGUGAAGCGAGCCACCUGGGAAGUACGGCCGCAAGGCUGAAACUUAAAGGAAUUGGCGGGGGAGCACAACAACGGGUGGAAGCCUGCGGUUUAAUUGGACUCAACGCCGGACAACUCACCGGGGGCGACAGCAAUAUGUAGGCCAAGCUGAAGACUUUGCCUGAAUCGCUGAGAAGAGGUGCAUGG